UCUAUUGUGACAGACUUAAUGUAAUGAAUUUAAGAUUCAUCGAUAAAUAUAAUUAUUUCCUUAGAA
rnacentral:tRNA from 1 species